rnacentral:rRNA from 2 species
GUGGUAAUUCUAGAGCUAAUACAUGCUAAAAACCCCGACUUCGGAAGGGGUGUAUUUAUUAGAUUAAAAACCAAUGCCCUUCGGGGCUCUCUGGUGAUUCAUAAUAACUUCUCGAAUCGCACGGCCUUGCGCCGGCGAUGGUUCAUUCAAAUUUCUGCCCUAUCAACUUUCGACGGCUGGGUCUUGGCCAGCCAUGGUGACAACGGGUAACGGAGGGUUAGGGCUCGACCCCGGAGAAGGAGCCUGAGAAACGGCUACUACAUCCAAGGAAGGCAGCAGGCGCGCAAAUUACCCAAUCCCGACUCGGGGAGGUAGUGACAAUAAAUACUGAUACAGGGCUCUUUUGGGUCUUGUAAUUGGAAUGAGUACAAUUUAAAUCCCUUAACGAGGAACAAUUGGAGGGCAAGUCUGGUGCCAGCAGCCGCGGUAAUUCCAGCUCCAAUAGCGUAUAUUAAAGUUGUUGCAGUUAAAAAGCUCGUAGUUGAACCUUGGGCCUGGCUGGCCGGUCCGCCUCACCGCGUGCACUGGUCCGGCCGGGCCUUUCCCUCUGGGGAACCGCAUGCCCUUCACUGGGUGUGUCGGGGAACCAGGACUUUUACUUUGAACAAAUUAGAUCGCUUAAAGAAGGCCUAUGCUCGAAUAUAUUAGCAUGGAAUAAUAGAAUAGGACGUGUGGUUCUAUUUUGUUGGUUUCUAG